rnacentral:rRNA from 1 species
CAGUAGCCGCGGGAAUACAGAGGGUGCGAGCGUUAAUCGGAUUUACUGGGCGUAAAGCGUGCGUAGGCGGCUUCUUAAGUCGGAUGUGAAAUCCCUGAGCUUAACUUAGGAAUUGCAUUCGAUACUGGGAAGCUAGAGUAUGGGAGAGGAUGGUAGAAUUCCAGGUGUAGCGGUGAAAUGCGUAGAGAUCUGGAGGAAUACCGAUGGCGAAGGCAGCCAUCUGGCCUAAUACUGACGCUGAGGUACGAAAGCAUGGGGAGCAAACAGGAUUAGAUACCCCCGUACUCCCUGUCUCUUAUAC